rnacentral:rRNA from 1 species
ACGAACGCUGGCGGCAGGCUUAACACAUGCAAGUCGAGCGCAGUAGCAAUACUGAGCGGCAGACGGGUGCGUAACACGUGGGAACAUACCUUUUGGUUUGGAAUAACUCAGGGAAACUUGAGCUAAUACCGGAUAAGCCCUUCGGGGGAAGGAUUUAUCGCCGAAAGAUUGGCCCGCGUCUGAUUAGCUAGUUGGUGGGGUAAUGGCCCACCAAGGCGACGAUCAGUAGCUGGUCUGAGAGGAUGACCAGCCACACUGGGACUGAGACACGGCCCAGACUCCUACGGGAGGCAGCAGUGGGGAAUAUUGGACAAUGGGGGCAACCCUGAUCCAGCCAUGCCGCGUGAGUGAUGAAGGCCUUAGGGUUGUAAAGCUCUUUUACCAGGGAAGAUAAUGACUGUACCUGGAGAAUAAGCCCCGGCUAACUUCGU